CCUGUUGAGUUUAAGCAUAUAUAUAAGAGGAGAAAAAGAAACUUACAAGGAUUUCCUUAGUAACAGCGAGUGAACUGGGAAUAGCCCAGCCUUAGAAUCGGGCAGCUUUUUAGUCUGAAUUAUAGUUUGGAGAAGCGUUCUCAUUGGUGGACCGGGCCCAAGUCCCCUGGAAAGGGAAGCCAGAUAGGGUGAGAACCCCAUUAUGCUCGGACCCUGUCGCACCAUGAGGCACUGUCUAUGAGUCAGGUUAUUUGGGAAUGCAGCCCAAAUUGGGCGAUGAAUUCCGUCCAAGGCUAAAUACGGGCGAUAGACCGAUACCGAAUAAGUACCACGAGGGAAAGAUGAAAAGGACUUUGAAAAGAGAGUCAAAGAGUGCUUGAAAUUAUCAAGAGGGAAGUGGAUGGGGGCCGGCAACGCACCCCAGUCGAAUGUGGAAUGGAAACGAGCUGGUCUACUGAUUGACUCGGGGCGUGGACAAAUGUGGAUUGGGGGGCGUCCAAAGCUCGGGCUCUCGAUACACUAGUGGAACACCAUCUCCUAGAUUGUGGCAGGAAGCAUGUGCCUCUGGCAUACUUUGGUAACUACGCGCUACAGACGCUGGCCUAUGGGCUUCCUUUUCAACCCAUCUAGAAAAACAAACCAAGAAGUCCGACAUGUGUGCAAGUCAACGGGAGAGUAAACUCGUAAGGCGUAAGGAAGCUGAUUGGUGGUAUCCCCCCGAAGGAUGCACCACCGACCAACCUUGAUCUUCUAAGAAGGGUUCGAGUGUGAGCAUACCUGUUGGGACCCGAAAUAUAGUGAACUAUGCCUGAGCGGGGUGAAGCCAGAGAAAACUCUGGUGGAGGCCCGCAGCGAUACUGACAUGUAAAUCAUUCAUCUGACUUGGUGUAGGGCCCGCGGCUGCUUUGUCAAGCCGUGCCACAGAAUCAAGAGCUCCUAGUAGGCCAUUUUUAGUAAGCAGAACUAGCAAUGUGGGAUAAAACAAAAGUCGGGUUACGGUGCCAAACUGUGCACUAACCUAGAUCCCACAAAGGGUGUUGGUCGAUUAAGACAGCAGGACGGUGGUGAUAGAAGUCAAAAUCUUCUAAGGAGUGUGUAACAACUCACCUACCGAAUAAACUAGCCCUGAAAAUGGAUGGCGCUUAAGCGCGCGACCUACACCCGCCGUCGGGGAAAGUUCCAGGCCCUAAUGAGUAGGAGGGCGCGGCGGUCGUCAGUGCAGAUAUUGAUGGUAGUUUCAAAUGAGAGCUUUGAAGGCCGAAUAGGGAAAAGGUUCCAUGGGAACGACACUUGCACAUGGGUUAGUCGAUCCUAAGGGUUGGGGAAACCCCGACAGAUAGCACGUUUCAUGCGUGCUCCAAAAGUGAAUCGGGUUAAAAGUCCUGGAUCAGGACGUGGUGGUCCAUGGCAAUAUUAUGAAGUUCAGAGACGUUGGUAGAAGCCUCGGUAAGAGUUAUCUUUUCUAUUUAACAGCCUGCCCACGCUAGAAUCGGCUCAGCCGGAGGUAGGGUCCAGCGGCUGGGAGAGCACCGCACGUCACGUGGUGGUCGGUGCACUACCGGCGGCCCUUGAAAAUCAAGAGGACCAAAUGCCAUCCAUGACCGGUCGUGCUCAUAACAACAUCAAGUCUCCAAGGGAAAAACCUCUGGUC
rfam:Capsicum annuum cultivar Zunla-1 unplaced genomic scaffold scaffold2697, whole genome shotgun sequence